GACGAACGCUGGCGGCGUGCUUAACACAUGCAAGUCGAACGGAAAGACCCUGCUUUUGUGGGGUGCUCGAGUGGCGAACGCGUGAGUAACACGUGAGUAACCUGCCCUUUACGUUGGGAUAACUUCAGGCAACUGGGGCUAAUACCGGAUAGGAGCUCCUGCUGCAUGGUGGGGGUCGGAAAGUUUCGGCGGUUGGGGAUGUACUCGCGGCUUAUCAGCUUGUUGGUGGGGUAGUGGCUUACCAAGGCUUUGACGGGUAGCCGGCCUGAGAGGGUGACCGGCCACAUUGGGACUGAGAUACGGCCCAGACUCCUACGGGAGGCAGCAGUGGGGAAUAUUGCACAAUGGGCGGAAGCCUGAUGCAGCAACGCCGCGUGCGGGAUGACGGCCUUCGGGUUGUAAACCGCUUUCGCCUGUGACGAAGCGUGAGUGACGGUAAUGGGUAAAGAAGCACCGGCUAACUACGUG
rnacentral:rRNA from 1 species